ACUCCAUUUGGAGAAGUGGUUAGAAAAACACAAAGAUGUUGAACAGCAGUCAGAAGCGAUGAGAUUCAUGUCCAACAACAAGCAGUGGUGAAGAAAAGUUGGAAUGUGAUUGAUUCCAGCAGAAGAGAUUGGCAUCUUCAGGACUUUGCGUGUACACGAGCAUUGAAAAAUGGAGAUCCCUGAUCAGGGGACAGAUCAUGUGACCUCACCCUCAAAAGACUGUAAACUACAGAGAGAGAAAUCACACUCACCAGUGCCCAGCUGUGUCUCCAUGAAGAGUGAUCAGUCUAUGGGUCUUCCUUUUGGAUUUAGCACUGGAAUCUCCUUACCUCGACAAAGUGUUCUACAGAAGACAGGAGACAGAAGAGAGAAGAACAUCAUCACAGCUACAGGGUACG